GCAGAGUUAGACUUGUUCGAUAAGGAAAAGACUAGAAGAUCACGUUACUCUCUUGUGAUUAGAUUCAUUUUUGUAUAUAUAUGAUAACAUGCAAGAAAAUAAUUAGCAGACAAUUUGGAAAAGAUAAAACAAUCACCAAACAUUAUGUGUUACUGCGCCAAUGAUGAGGUAUUGUUCACUUUGGAGAUAAUAAUCAAUAUCUGAAAGUGUUGUUUUUUCGAAAAGAUACUUUAUAAGGAAAAAUAAAUCAAUUAUUAGUAAAUUCAAUGUGAUCUUUUGUAAGGAGUGCUCUUAGAACAACUUUAGUAUCAUCAGGUGAGUUUUUU
rnacentral:lncRNA from 1 species